UGGACAGAUUAUUGUAUUCGACUGUAUUCGCGGCGUGAAAUAGGGGAUUACACUGUUUUUAAAAAGUGAAUCAAUUAACAUAAUAGACUCCU
rfam:Nicotiana attenuata strain TT chromosome 1, whole genome shotgun sequence.